AUUGAACGCUGGCGGCAGGCCUAACACAUGCAAGUCGAACGAGUGGCGGACGGGUGAGUAAUGUCUGGGAAACUGCCUGAUGGAGGGGGAUAACUACUGGAAACGGUAGCUAAUACCGCAUACCAUCGGAUGUGCCCAGAUGGGAUUAGCUAGUAGGUGGGGUAAAGGCUCACCUAGGCGACGAUCCCUAGCUGGUCUGAGAGGAUGACGCGCCAAAUGGGAAAUGAGACAGGGGCCAGACUCCUACGGGAGGACGCAGUGGUGAAGAUUGGACAAUGGGCGCAAGCCUGAUGAAGCCAUGCCGCGUGUAUGAAGAAUGCCGUCGGGUUGUAAAGGACUUUAAGCGGGGAGUCGUUACCCGUAGAAGAAGCACCGGCUAACUCCGUGCCAGCAGCCGCGGUAAUUC
rnacentral:rRNA from 1 species